UAAGGAAUAUUGGACAAUGGAGGCAACUCUGAUCCAGCCAUGCCGCGUGAAGGAAUAAGGCCCUAUGGGUUGUAAACUUCUUUUAGACGGGACAAAACCCCUUUACGUGUAAAGGGUUGAUGGUACUGUCAGAAUGAGCAUCGGCUAACUUCGUGCCAGCAGCCGCGGUAAUACGAAGGAUGCAAGCGUUAUCCGGAAUUAUUGGGUUUAAAGGGUGCGUAGGCGGACUAAUAAGUCAGUGGUGAAAGCCUGCAGCUUAGCUGCAGAAUUGCCAUUGAUACUGUUAGUCUUGAGUACAGUUGAGGGAGGCGCAAUGUGUCAUGUAGCGGUGAAAGGCUUAGAGAUGACACAGAACACCGAUUGCGAAGGCAGCUUGCUAAGCUGUAACUGACGCUGAGGCACGAAAGCGUGGGGAGCAAACA
rnacentral:rRNA from 1 species